ACGGCCGCGUCAGCGGCAGUCGUCAGCUCCGGGACCGCCCGGAGCGCCGCGCUCUCCGCACAGCUCGGAACUCAAGUGUGUCAUAAAUGAGAAAGUGUAAGAUGUCACCCUGAAACCUAAAGCCUUCUGAUAAUGUCUUCAUAGUUUUAGUUACUUUCCCAUGAAAGUUCUAUAAAAAUAAGUUGUUUAUCACAUUCCUUCUAAUAAACAUCUUUUGGUGGACGUUUCUG